UCUAUGGGCUGGGACGUCGCCGUUAUGCUCCUGGCCUCUUAGGCCUUUUGCUAUCUUGCUAUGUCUAAUAGCAUAACUUCGCUUCCGUUGAUUGAUGUUUGCCAGGUCAGUGACCUCUGCUUGUAAUGCUUUGGUUCUUCGCUCAGUUAUGAGCUCGUAUUACCUUUUUGAGUCGUAGAGUCACUGUUGUGUUACCGAUCCUCUCACUGUAGUCUCUCGAGCUCUAGGUUAGGCUUAUGUCAGAUGAAGAUCUGGUAUUUGUCUAACCCUGAUCAAUCGGGGGUGCCACAGGUUUUGGUAUCAGAGCAGGACUGCCUGUAGGAAACCCUUUCCACUGGUCGAUGUUGAGUCUAGUGUUUGGGAAAACUAUUUGAAGCUAAAAGUAUUUGCGAAAAUCUGAUUAGGCUUCUUUUUACUCCUUAUCUGGUAUCGCUCUAAUUCUAAGGUGCCUUACCUUGUGUUGAUUUGAAAGUUUUUCUAUCUCUUCUAGUCUUUCAAACUUAGGUGCCUCAAGGGCAGGUCGUUUCUUAACCAAUUGACCUAUUGUUAAGUUUGCACGACUCUAGAGAAUCUGUGUGCGUGUGUUUCGAGUUUUCUUUCUUUCUCUUGCUUCAAGAGAGAGCUAUCAUUCAAUCAUAAUUUCAGUCGUGUGUGUUCUAUGCAUCCUCCUUGUUUUUUUUCAACAGAGAGAUUCCUUUCCAUCAUGAUCUCUCUAUUUUGUGGGUUCCACAUCAUUCUGUUCUAGGCUUCGAGGUUUCCUUUUGCCUUGUAUGCCUCCUUUUUAUUUUCUUGGGUACUUCGGAAGCUAUGCAAUGCUUCUGGAAGCUACACCGUGAUUACUACCUCGUAGUGUCCUUUGUGUCACUCAUUUAGUAGUUACUCCUUUCUCGGUUUUUAAACCCUUGGACUUGAACCGAAGGUCCCCGAUUGUGCUGGAUUCUAAUGAAUCUUGGUACAUGAAGCUGGCCUUUAACCCAAGAUCCAUGCCAUUGAAUACUAGUGUUAAUGUUCAUACAUUACAUCGGGAUGACUAAAUCCAAAUCAAGCUAGCCUUCAAGCUUGUGGUUGUUGUCGUGUUGAAUUGCGGCAAUAAAUAUCUUCCCCUUCCACUAGCUAUCGCAGAGGUUCUUUCAUUGAACCAAAUGGAUCAUGACAAGAGUGCUCUUUGAGAGUCUCAUAUCUAUGCCUGUAACUCCGCCACACCUCCCUUUUUGAGCAUGAGUUUCACAAAAGUGUUAACUGUGCAUCUACCUCUCAGGAAUUCUGUUCCUGAUUGUGUUCCUCCUCUUUAGUCGCUUUCCGAUCUUUGUCUGCUAGUUAGCAGUCAAGUUGUAAAUUUGCAUUGGUGUUUUUCAAUGCAUAUUAUCCUUGUGGUUCGUCCAGACAUUCCACUUCAGUAUGUCAGGAGAAACAAACUCCAGUACCUUGUCCAUUUCAAAGACUUGGUCAAAGUGUUGUAAUCUGCAGAUUAAGAGGCCUCGGUAGCUUCUGUUCUGUUCUACCUUGGAGUAUAACCCUCUUUUAUAUCAUGAGGUCGUGCUGAGUCUCAUGGCCUUAUUGAUGAAGUGAUUAUCUUGCACAUCUGUACUCACCCUUCCUUCGAGCUUUCUAUGCUUGGGGUUGUUGGGGUGUGCGUAUUGAUGUAGCUCUCUGAGAUUCUUAGCAAUUUUUAUUGAUUUGAAAUCCAUGGACGUUUGUGUCAUUCUUAGCAUGAUUGGUUCGCCAAUUUCUAAGCGAAGUUUGAUUGUGCUGCCAAGUCCAUUCGUUCAGACGCACAUCUUCGGUCAAAGAGUUAGGUUAAUCCCAAAGCUCUCAAGACCAUAUCGUUUGCUUUGUAAAGCAAGAUCCCCUCUUGAAUUCAGUGAUAUACCGGUGGUUCGUGAUAUUCUAGUUGUCUUCUAGGAGUAUCACCAUGUUGUUACAUGACCGUGUUCUCGAGUACAUGAGUGCGUUGGUUCGUUGAACUACUCCUUCUCCAAGAACCGUGCUGGAUAACCCUGGACUAGUUGGUUGAGCUUAAUCAACAACUUGGAGAGUUGAAAGACAAGAGCUCUAUCCAACUUUGUUCCUUCAUAAAGGGAUGUCUAGUGUUGUUUGUGUUGAAGUCAGAAAGUAUCUCCUUUGUGGAUAUGCUAUCUUCCACAUAUUUGAUUUGAGCCUGGGCUAUCGUCAAAUCAAACUCAGUUCCAAGGACUAUCUUGAUGAUGCUUAUACUCAUGGUGCCUUGUCUGAGUAUACCUUCAUGUCCUUUGGUCUGACCAAUACUUCUGCCUUGUUCAUGCAAAAUAUGAGUUCCUCAUUGGAGUAUUUUGAUAAGUUUGUUGUUGAGCCCUCAAUGAUAUUCUUAUUUCCUCCAUGUUUAAAGAGGUUCAUAUUGAACAGCUGGCACUAAUAUUGGAAAAUUUUGAGAACCAUCUUUGUGUUAUAAUGAAGUAUGUUCUGGAUGUUGGAAGUGUCCUUCUCUGGUUCACGUGCAUUUGCUGAAAGAUGUCGUCGUGGAUCCGAGUAGAGUUCCCUUUGUUUUCCUCGGGAAUCAUCGCAAGUCGGUCAGGCAUAUGCGAAGUAUUCUUGAGAUGGAAGGUUGUUACCUCCAUUCCUUGAAACGUUCAUCUAUGCACACUAAGACAUUGAUUGGUUUGUUUAAGAGAAGAAGCUUAAUAGCUUUAGUAUCUUCUUUGAUGUUCCCACCAGGACUCAACGGUGUUACAUUGUAAGUUCAUAUGCAUGCAAUUGUCUUCGACAAUCGCAACCACAUGGAUUACGCAAUUUAGCUCGAUCUUUUGGAGCUUGACAUGGUGGUCUAUAUCUUGAGGAUCUAGCAACUUUACCUUGGUGGUAACUAUUGCAAUUUCUAUUCGUACAUUCCGAGUCUGAAAUAUCUUUACACCCAGCCUAAGCUGAAUCUCAAGCGGCAAUGAUGGUUAGUGUUUCUCAAGGAUUUUUGACAUAUGUCUCUUUGGAAAUCUGGCAAGAUUGAUGUCGUAGUUAACACAAUUAGUCGGAAUGCCUAAUGUCAUAAUCUCUUGAAUCAUCAAGAAUAACCACUCUCCCUAAGGAUCUUGUGCGACUUAUUCUAGGAGUUGCCCUUAUGAUGUCUGUUCAAUUCCGAAGUCCAACCUUGACUCGAUGACCUAUUGAAGGCUCGUCAAUAACCUAAAAUUGGUGUCUAUAACAUCAAGGAGAACGUUAUAAGCAGAGUUGCUACAUGUCUGUUGGUCAAUCCCUUGAAUCAUUUCUCCGGUGACAACCACUCCGUUAGGAGAAAUUUCACUCCCCGGUGAUCAUUGACACUUGACUAGCUAGUUCUCCUCCCCUUCCUGUUGUUUGUACCUAAAGUUCCAAUCGAUUCACACGUUGUGUGAAUUCGUCAGUCAUCUAGGCCCUAACCUUUGAGUAGAUGAAAAUUGUUUCAUGUAUCCUUGCCCGAAGAGUGAUUAUGAUUCUUAAAUCCAAAGUUGCUCUGGUUGGUAAUCAUUUGUCCUUCUCCCAGUCACCCUCCUUUUGGGGAAUGUCUCUUCAUGGUACCAAAAGCAAUCCAACUCUAUGCUACCUCAUCUUUUCGUAUUCUGUCAAGCAUGGAGAAAAUUGCCUACCAAAUUUUGAAACUUCUUUCGUCUCUGCCAUUACCUUGAUGUGUCUCAUGUUUUUCAGCUCAAGAGUUGUUUCCGAACACUCCUUCAUGAGUUGAUCAUGAGAUACUCGAUCUUUGUAAAGAUCCAUCGUCCAGAGUUAUUUCCUCUUUUCUUUAGAGUGAAGAAAGCAAAAUGAAGACUUCUUCAUGGUGUCUUGGAUCAACUUCUUCAACAAAGAAGAUCAUCGUGGUAUCAACAAGCUUGUUGAAGAACGGUGUAGUCCUUGUUACCUUCUCAUUUCCUACCUUAGGAAUCUCGGGGACGAGAUUCUUGUAAGGGGGAUAGAGCUGUAACAUCCCUGUUUUACUAAACCCAAAUUAGAGUUGUUUUGUGCAUCAUGAGCAUCAUAUAAAAUUAUUAAGAAAAAAAUGCAUUUUAAAAUAAAGUGGAAACCUUAAAAUGGAUGAAUCUUUCCGUCUAAUUUAAAUGCCUCAAUAAUUAUUCAAACAAAAAUGUUGAAUUCUAGACAAAAGAGGUGAAUGUUUAAAAUAUUAAUUUAGUUAUACCAAUUAGCUAUUUGCCUCUUUUUGCCAAGAUUAUAUUUGCGAAGGGGUAAAUAUUUAAACUUUGGUCAAAUGAAAGUCGAUGUGAAGUAUAUCUAACUAGUUCAGUUCACACAUGAGCUAGCAACAACUGGAUUUGUAGCAAACGUGUGAUGGUUAUCUACAGCACCACCUAUCUAAAAUAUCUAGGGAGAGAGGUAACCAAAUAGUACUACUACUCCCAGCUCAGCACAUAACAAGCCAUCCGGCCAUCUUAUCCAUCGAGUCGCCACCAGCCGGAGAAACUGAGAACCGGCGACCAUGGUUGUGACAUACCUGAGAUGGGAUUUAGUUGAGCGAGUAGAGGAUCUUAGGGAGGAGAAGGCCAUUCUCUGCGGCAGUCGACGGGGCAGUCGCUGGAGUCCAUAUCUGUCCGCCGGAGUCGUUUAGCGUGGGAACCUGGGGAGUUUAGGCCAAACCCCAGCAAGAAUCAGAGCUAGACACUUCCUCGCUGAGAGCACGAGUCCGAGACGAUGAAGAUCGACAACACCGAAGGUUAAUAUUUGCCCACCGACGAACAAGUCAAGCAUGCAUCGAAGAUCCACUUUGGUUUGUCAGGGACAAAGGCAAGCCCUAGCCUGGUUCAUAUAUGAUUUCAAAAUGCUUUUACUCUGGUUCCUACAUAUUGAUUACGAUUCAACUGUCUUUUAUCGA